rnacentral:rRNA from 1 species
UACGAACUGCGCAAACGUUAUUCGGAAUCACUGGGCUUACAGGGUGCGUAGGCGGCCGAUCAGGUCCGAUGUGAAAUCCCACAGCUCAACUGUGGAACGGCAUUGGAAACCGACCGGCUCGAGUGAGCUAGAGGGACACGGAACUUCCGGUGGAGCGGUGAAAUGUGUUGAGAUCGGAAGGAACACCAGAGGCGAAAGCGGUGUCCUGGAGCUUGUCUGACGCUGAGGCACGAAAGCCAGGGGAGCGAACGGG